GACGUAGGGCGCGAGCGUUGUCCGGAUUUAUUGGGCGUAAAGAGCUCGUAGGCGGCUUGUCGCGUCGGCUGUGAAAACCCGGGGCUCAACCAUGUGGUCUGCAGUCGAUACGGGCAGGCUAGAAUUCGGUAGGGGAGACUGGAAUUCCUGGUGUAGCGGUGAAAUGCGCAGAUAUCAGGAGGAACACCCGUAGCGAAGGCGGCACUCUGGGCCGAUACUGACACUGAGGAGCGAAAGCGUGGGGAGCGAACAGG
rnacentral:rRNA from 1 species